GUCGGUCGCGGGUGUCGGAAAGUUUCGGGAAAUUAUUGCCCGCGGUGGAGGGGGCGGGCGGGGGGGGGGGGGGGGGGGAAAUACGCUGGCGCGCGCGCGCUCAACACGCUAACCGCCGUUGACCGUUGCGCCGAAUCGUUAUCGACGGCGUUAUCGAUCGUCGUUGUCGGCGUUGACGCGCGCCCGCUCCCCUCGACCACUUCACGCACC